CCCUUAGAUGUUCUGGGCCGCACGCGCGCUACACUGAUGCAUUCAACGAGCCUAUCCUUGACCGACAGGUCCGGGUAAUCUUUGAAUCUGCAUCGUGACGGGGAUAGAUUAUUGCAAUUAUUAAUCUUCAACGAGGAAUGCCUAGUAGGCGCAAGUCAUCAGCUUGCGUCGAUUACGUCCCUGCCCUUUGUACACACCGCCCGUCGCUCCUACCGAUUGGGUGUGCUGGCGAAAUGUUCGGAUCGGCCGUUUGUCGCGGUUUCCGCGUCAUGUGGCUGAGAAGUUCAUUAAACCCGCCCACCUAGAGGAAGGAGAAGUCGUAACA
rnacentral:rRNA from 1 species